GAUGAACGCUGGCGGCGUGCCUAAUACAUGCAAGUCGAGCGAACGGACGAGAAGCUUGCAUCUCUUUUGUUAGCGGCGGACGGGUGAGUAACACGUGGGGAACCUACCUAUAAGACUGGGAUAACUUCGGGAAACCAUUGCUAAUACCGGAUAAUAUUUUUAACCGCAUGGUUCAAAAGUGAAAGACGGUAUUGCUGUAACUAAUGGAUGGACCCGCGUUGCAUUAGCUAGUUGGUAAGGUAACGGCUUACAAAGCGAAGGAUGCAUAGCCGACCGGAGAGGGUGUCCGCCCCCACUGGACCUGGAACACGGUCCAGCCUCCUACGGGAGGCACCAGUAGGGAAUCUUCGGCAAUGGGCGAAGUCCUGCCGGAGCACCGCCGCGUGAGUGAUGAAGGUCUCCGGACCGUAAACUUCUGUUAUUAGGGAGGAACAUAUGUGUAAGUAACUGUGCACAUCUUGACGGUAACUAAUCAGAAAGCCACGGCUAACUACGUG
rnacentral:rRNA from 1 species